rnacentral:rRNA from 1 species
AUGAGCAGAGGUGGUAAAUUCAAAAGAAAUGAUAAGAAAGACCUUGCACAAUUUUUUAAGGUAGAAGUGAGGAGUAUACAAAGAGUUUGGCAGAAGGCGAUGGAGCAAAUUUCAAAAGGUUUAGAGGUGGAUGUUUCCGAUCAGAGAAAAGUAAACUCUGGAAGAAAGCCAAAGAACAUCAAUUUAGAGCAAAUCCCUACUAUUCUACUAAACAAGAGGUCCACUGUCAGAUCUCUAGCUUGGCAACUGGGAUGUAGCCCUACCACACUGCAUAGAAACUUCAAGCUGAAUUUGAUAAAGAGGCACACAAACCAUGUGAAGCCAGCUCUGAAGGAAAAGAAUAAGAAGGAUAGGAUGGAAUUUUGUAUGUCAAUGCUUGAUGAGACAACGAUAGAAACUUCAAGGCCUAAAUUCAAGACAAUGCAUAAUGUUGUGCACAUUGAUGAGAAAUGGUUCAAUAUGACGAAGAAAAAUAAGACCUACUAUCUGCUGGAUGGGGAGGAGGAGCCUACGAGGCCUAUACAUGGCAACUACAUUGGCAAGGUGAUGUUCUUGACGGCCGUUGCUAGGCCAAGGUGGGCGUGA